rnacentral:tRNA from 1 species
ACUCGCUUGGUGAAAAUUGGUAAACACGGUGGAUUUAAAAUCCAUUCUCAAUUGAGUUACUGGUUCAAAUCCAGUAGCGAGUA